UCUAGAUGUACAGGGUCUCACAGUAUGAUAGACUGUCAUUUUAUAAACUAAGGCAUGCAUUUUAAUGGAAAACAUGCUAGAAAAAUACAGCAUAUAGCAUUGGAAAGCACCUGCACUUCUUGGGGCGCCUGGGUGGCUCAGUCGGUUAAGCGUCUGAC